rnacentral:rRNA from 1 species
AUACGGAUGGUGCGAGCGUUAAUCGGAAUUACUGGGCGUAAAGCGUACGUAGGCGGGUGGUUAAGUUAGAUGUGAAAGCCCCGGGCUUAACCUGGGAACUGCAUUUAAAACUGGCGAACUAGAGUUGAGUAGAGGGGAGUGGAAUUUCAGGUGUAGCGGUGAAAUGCGUAGAGAUCUGAAGGAACACCAGUGGCGAAGGCGACUCCCUGGACUCGAACUGACGCUGAGGUACGAAAGCGUGGGUAGCAGACGGGAUUAGAUACCCUAGUAGUCC